UACGUAGGGGGGCAAGCGUUGUCCGGAAUCAUUGGGCGUAAAGAGCGUGUAGGCGGCCCGAUAAGUCCGCUGUGAAAGUCCAGGGCUCAACCCUGGAAUGCCGGUGGAUACCUUGUCGGGCUCGAAUCCGGAAGAGGUGAGUGGAAUCCGUGGUGUAGCGGUGAAUGACGCAGAUAUCAGGAGGAACACCAAUGGCGAAGGCAGCUCACUGGGACGGUAUUGACGCUGAGACGCGAAAGCGUGGGGAGCAAACAGG
rnacentral:rRNA from 1 species